AUUGAACGCUGGCGGCAUGCCUUACACAUGCAAGUCGAACGGCAGCACGGGUGCUUGCACCUGGUGGCGAGUGGCGAACGGGUGAGUAAUACAUCGGAACGUACCUUAUCGUGGGGGAUAACAAAUUGAAAAAUUUGCUAAUACCGCAUAAUACUCUGAGGAGGAAAGCGGGGGAUUCGUAAGAACCUCGUGCGAUUAGAGCGGCCGAUGGCUGAUUAGCUUGUUGGUGGGGUAAAAGCCCACCAAGGCGACGAUCAGUAGCUGGUCUGAGGGGACGAGCGGACACGCGGGGAAUGAGACACGGCCGAGACGCCUACGGGAGGCAGCAGUGGGGAAUUUUGGACAAUGGGGGCAACCCUGAUCCAGCAAUGCCGCGUGAGUGAAGAAGGCCUUCGGGUUGUAAAGCUCUUUUGUCAGGGAAGAAACACCGGCUCUAACACAGUCUGGGAAUGACGGUACCUGAAGAAUAAGCACCGGCUAACUACGUGCCAGCAGCCGCCGUAA
rnacentral:rRNA from 1 species